rnacentral:rRNA from 1 species
UGACGUGGGUGCUAGCCUCUAAGAUUUAGCCAUGCAUGCUUUGUGAACCCAGACGGGGGAACGGCGAACGGCUCAGUAAUGUUGCGGUGAUCUGCUCUGGUUGAGAAAGAUAACCACGGUAAACUGUGGCUAAGAGACCAGAAUGAGCUGCAACCCUAUCAGUUUGUUGGAAGUGUAAAAGACUCCCAAGACGUCGACGGGUAACGGGAAAUCAGUGUUUGAUUCCGGAGAGGGAGCCUGAGAGAUGGCUCCCACGUCCAAGGAUGGCAGCAGGCGCGAAAAUUGUCCACUCUUUGGAGAGGAGACAGUUAUGAGGCGUGAUUAAAAGAGCGAAGUGUAAACACCUUCGUGUAACGCAAUUGGAGGGCAAGUUUUGGUGCCAGCAGCCGCGGUAAUUCCAACUCCAAGAGUGCCCAUGGUGGAUGCUGCAGUUAAAAAGUCCGUAGUCGUAGAUGCAAUUAAAGGGUGCGGAUCAAGCGCACUGAGUUUGUUGAGUUGUAGCGGAGCGGAUAGGGAGCAUGGUAUAGGUUGGCGAAGAAUGAAAUCUCAAGACCCAACCUGGACCAACUGAGGCGAAAGCGGUGCUCUUAUACGCAUCCGAGGAUCAAGGACGAAGGCUGGAGGAUCGAAAGUGAUUAGAUACCGCUGUAGUUCCAGCAGUAAACUAUGCCGACAUUCUCUGUCCAGCGGACGGGGAAGGGAGAAAUCUUAGUUUUCGGGCUCUGGGGAUAGUACGCUUGCAAGAGUGAAACUUAAAGCGAAAUUGACGGAAGGACACUACCAGGAGUGGAUUGUACUGCUUAAUUUGACUCAACGCGGGAAAACUUACCAGGGUCAAGUUCUCCGUAGAUCGAGUACGUGAGGGGAACGAGAGUGGUGCAUGGCCGUUGGAAAUUGAUGGGAUGACUUUUAGCUUAAAUGCUGAAACCAGUGAGAUCUUCUAGACAGGUGCCAUCCGGCACAGGAGGGCGAAGGCGAUAACAGGUCCGUGAUGCCCUUAGAUAUCCUGGGCUGCAAGUGCAAUACAAUAUCCAUGUCGAUCAAGAAAGGUGAUUAUGGAUGAGCAGGAUUAGCUCUUGUAAAUGAGCUAUGAAUGAGGAAUUCCUAGUAACAGUGUCUCACUAAGGCAUUGUGAAUGCGUCCCUGUUCUUUGUACACACCGCCCGUCACUAUUUCAGAUGGCCAUGAAGAUGAAGAGCUUCGGUUCUGAAUAUUCAUGUC